rnacentral:rRNA from 1 species
UACGGAGGGUGCAAGCGUUGUUCGGAAUCACUGGGCGUAAAGCGCGUGUAGGCGGCCUUCUUAGUCUGGUGUGAAAGCCCGGGGCUCACCCCCGGAAGUGCAUUGGAUACUGGAAGGCUGGAGUACCGGAGAGGAGGGUGGAAUUCCUGGUGUAGCGGUGAAAUGCGUAGAUAUCAGGAAGAACACCCGUGGCGAAGGCGGCUCUCUGGGACGGUACUGACGCUGAGACGCGAAAGCGUGGGGAGCGAACAGG